UUCAGCACAACCUCCAAGAAACGCUUAAGAAAACUGGAAAACGAAUCGCAUAUAAAGGAGAUUCGAGAGACAGCCUCACUCCAUGCUUUCCUAUCAGUUUCUCGCAUUUUCCCGAGAAAAUCUCACGUCAUUUCCAAGAAAAAGCCCUACCACCGUAUGGUUUCCAACCUCAAGCUGUGAUAAGAGAUGUUUCCUCCGGCUGACGACCCUCCGAUCUAGGGAUCCCACCCAACCGCGGCCCUCUGCCCGUCAGGAGAAACCCUAACUCUAAACCUAACCCUCGCGUUCGUUCUGGCCAUCGACGCAAUGCCCGGCCGCAGGGGAUUCGGGGGGUCCGAGCUCACCGAGGCGCUCUACGUGGGAUUCUUGACGUGUUCUUUUAUUUUUACUGCUUUGUUUCGUAUCUGUUUCUCGCAUUUUACCGAGAAAAUCUCACGUCAUUUCCAAGAAAAAGCCCUACCACCGUAUCGUUUCCAAACUCAAGCUGUGAUAAGAGAUGUUUCCUCCGGCUGACGACCCUCCUGAUCUAGGGAUCCCACCCAACGGCGGCCCUCUGCCCGUCAGGACAAACCCUCGCGUUCGUCCCGGCCAUCAACGCAAUGCCCGGCCGCAGGGGAUUCUGGGGGCCCGAGCUCACCGAGGCGCUCUAUAACAAAAUCGGCGUGAUAAGCAGGAGUGGUCGUUUCUUGACGGAAUUGCCAUGAUGGUGCUUGGCUAAAUCACAAGAAUAUUCUAGGAUUUUCAUGGAACUGAAUAGAUAGUGAUGAAUCUCCUAAUUUGUUUGAUAAAGAAUCCUACCAUUGUUGAUAAAGAUUCUGCUUCUCUUUGGAAAAAUGUCGCUUCUCUUCUCAAGUCUCUCUCCAUUAGACCAGGAGUAACACUGGUGCAAAACUAUGGGGAUAGUGAAAUUGGGGAAGUUGUUAUCCAAUUGGCCUAAGAGCGUUAGCUAUAGACGAUAAGCAUGAUUGAGGACAAACCUGGAAAUCCUGAUGCAUGCCAUUGAAGAGCCUUAGGCCCUUGGUGGUGACGUAGUUGUGCUAGAGAGCCAUAUAAAGACAUGUUCUACAAGAACCUCUCAAUCGUGUUGAAAGAUAUUGUCUAGAAAUCAGGAGAUGAAACAAAGGAGGAAGCGAAUAAUGGUUAGUGUGCAUUAUAACAAGGAUUAAGUUUCGUAUUCUUUCAUUUUUACUGCUUUGUUUCAUAUCUGUUUCUCGCAUUUUACCGAGAAAAUCUCACGUCAUUUCCAAGAAAAAGCCCUACCACCGUAUCGUUUCGAACCUCAAGCUGUGACAAGAGAUGUUCCCUCUGGCUGACGACCCUCACGAUCUAGGGAUCCCACCCAACCGCGACCCUCUUCCCGUCAGGAGAAACCCUAACUCUAAACCUAACCCUCGCGUUCGUUCUGGCCAUCGACGCAAUGCUCAGCCACAGGGGAUUCGGGGGGUCCGAGCUCACCGAGACGCUCUAUAUGUGGCUGGGACUGGUUAAAACAGCUAAGGAAGGAGGGAUCGAUGUAAUUGAAACAUAUGUGUUCUGGAAUGGCCAUGAACUUUCUCCAGGCAAUAUGAGUGAGAGUAAAUGUAUUUAGUGAUGCUUAAGCUUGAUGUUCCUCUGUUUCAAUAUUUGAUGAUUAAAUUGAUUUGAAUUAUUUUCCCUUGUAAUUUGAAAACUUUUAGUAUUACUUUGGGGGACGGUACGAUCUUCUCAAGUUUGUGAAGAUUGUUUAGCAGGGUGGGAUGUAUUUGAUUCUCUGUAUUGGUCCAUUUGUUGCAGCAGAAUGGAAUUUCGGUGGGGUUCUUGUUUGGUUGCAUUACGUGCCUGGAACUGUCUUCCGGACCAAUAGCGCACCCUUUAAGGUCCUCCAUCCACAGAGAAUACUCUUUUCAGAAAUAAUGGGGAUGGUGGAGAUUUUGUGAAUAUAUUGCUAAAGGUUCCAUUUAUAUGCUCACUGGAUCUAAUCCUCCCUGGAGAACAAAAUGUCUCUCGGUCCAAGGUCAGUCCAAAAUUGGUCCUAGCUUAAAAACUGAAAGCAUUCUUGAAGUGUUGGAUUUGGGUCUCCAGGAUGAAGCUGAUGAGGUUAGAAUUGAAGCUGUCAUUUCUAUGCCGGUGAUUGUCUUGUGGUCUGGUCUUGAUGUGCUCUUCAGAGGGCUGGAGCUGCAUGUUUUGUAAAGGAGAAUCAAGGUCAAAACUUUUUAAGAGAAAAUAAGGUCAAUAGUCUAGAGGUUUGUUAUUUUUUGGAAUUGAGAAUAAAAAAGUGAAGCUUACCUUUCAUGUGUGGGGUGGAUGGAGAAACCAAAUAAAAAAGCAGCAGGGUGCAUAUGAGAUUUGGAUCUAAUUAUGGAAAGAAGAUAGUAACACAAAGGGGGGCUACAUUUGGAUGGCUACUUCAAGCCAUUGAAAAGCAAGAGCAACACAUGUCCAUAAAAGGAGAGGAUUAUGUGAGAAUAAGAGUAGGGUGGAUUCUUGAGAGGAGAAAAACAGGGGGGAAAAAUGGAGAGAGGAGCAAAGUGAGAGAAUUGGAGAGAGAGAGAGUAGGAAACAAAAGAGAAGAAUAGAGAAGCUGAGGGGGAUGAGGCCGGGCUUAGAGAAGGAAGAGUACUAGAAGCUAGGGAGAUUAUUGCUUGAAGGGAGGUUCUUCUAGCACUGAGAAGCCUAUGGAGAUUGUUCACCACUUGUAUGAAUUUGGGUCGGUGGAAUACCAUGUCCAGUCUUCUGCAUCUGAUUCCACAUGACAUCUACUUGUCAAUAGCAACCACACUACUGUCCUAAGCAAUUCUGCACUCACAUGGUCUUUCACAUUACACCAUAGAGAUGAUAAAGGGAAUUUGUUCUGGUGUUUUGGAGAUUGUUGAACCUGCAAGAGAGGGAUAUCGGCUCACUCUAAGACUUGAUCUUGCUAAAAUUCCACUAGGCAAAGGCCGACAACGUCAAUUGGGCACCAAAAUCAACUGUUAAUUCCACUGAAACAACCUCCAAUGUGAUUGAAGAUCCGUUUGUAGUACUUCAACCCCUGCUGUUUCAUCCUCGACGCUGUUUACUGAUCCAUUAGAGGAAAUUAGUAAACUCUGUAAUUCUGGAAGCACCAGAGUUGAUGGUUCAUCUGCUGUUGGUGGGGGAGCAUUUAAUGAUUUAGAUCCCCUUGAUGGCCUUGGAAAAUCUGCAUUUCCAUCUGAGAUGAAUAAGAGGGGAAAGAAUAGGAGUCCUUCGAGCACAGAACCAACAAGUGAGACUCAAACUUUUGCUACUAAGGAACCAAUUGAAAAAUCCUCGGUUGAGGGUCAGGAUAGCCACUCUCAAAAGAAGAUGCCUGCUGAAAAUUAUUGGGAAUCUCAUCAAACCUUGUUUGACAUUCCUACAGUUUCCACAGAUUCUCAUAAAUCUUUCAGUCAGACGCCUUCUCCUCCUUCACAUGUAAAUGCUACUCCUAAUGAAACAAAUUCCCAGGGAGAGAUGUCUCCUAGAUCUGAAGAGAAUUAGUCUUCAUCUGAUGAUGUGUGGCUCACUGUAUCAGAUAUUCCUCUCUUUACACAACCCACCAGUGCUCCACCACCUUCAAGACCCCCUGCUCCAAGACCAACUCAAGUUUCAAGGGCAGAAACAGGUUCUUUUGGUUCCAAUAAUGCAAGAAAGAAGGUUAAUGAGUUUUCUUCCUUUGCUAAUUCUUCUCAGUGUUCUCAAAGUCCUAAGUUGACCCGUGGGACAAUGAAGAGCUCGGCUGUGUCUCAAAUCGAUGAACUUGAAGAUUUUGCCAUGGGUAGGACUCGGAAUAAUGUUGAUGGCCAUGCAGAGGGUCUUUAUGGUGAUGAAUUUGAGACAAACUCGGUUGCUGCUGCAUCUGCUACUGCUAUGAAGGAGGCCAUGGAUAGAGCUGAACCUAAGUUUAAGCAUGCAAAGGGAGUAAGGGAGAGAAAGUGCAAAAGCUUCUAGAAGUAAAGAAGCUGGCCAGUUGGAUAGAGAUGAGAAAGCAAUGCAAGAUGCUCAGGUUAGAGCAAUCAGAGAAAAACAGGAGAGAUUAGAACGCGAGCAGCAAGAGAGGGAGAGAGAAGAGGAAGAGAGGGAGCAAAGGAGACUUGAGAGAGCAAGGGAAAUUGAGGGGAAAAGGGAGGAGAAAGAGAGAGAACAGAGGAGACUUGAGAAGGAGAGGGAGCGAGCAAGGGAGAUUGAGAGGGAAAGUUUGCCGCCAUUCUUUAAUUCUAUAUGCAAAACCUUCAACCAUUAGCCACAUGUUUUCAAAUCUUUUGCCUUUUCUCACUCCUCUGCAAUCUAAGAAAAUGGGGCAGCAGAUAUGAGUCUUGGAGUUUAAGUCCAAUAUAGUCCAUUGGUAGAAAAAAAUGGUAAGAAUAGUACCCAUUUCAAAA